GAUCCUGGCUCAGGACGAACGCUGGCGGCGCGCCUAACACAUGCAAGUCGAGCGGAGUCAAGAGGAGCUUGCUUUUCUUGACUUAGUGGCGAACGGGUGAGUAACGCGUGAGUAACCUGCCCUGGAGUGGGGGACAACAGUUGGAAACGACUGCUAAUACCGCAUAAGCCCACGAUCCGGCAUCGGAUUGAGGGAAAAGGAUUUAUUCGCUUCAGGAUGGACUCGCGUCCAAUUAGCUAGUUGG
rnacentral:rRNA from 1 species